AUGUUAAUAGGUUAGGUAUAGUAGUUUGGGACUCUAUCCACUACUGUGUUUCUCUUGUCGGGGAUCCUAUGAAUUCCCAGUUGCCACCGCAAUAGGUAACCGAGAGUUAAAUGCAACCAUUUUUUUCAAAAAAAAAGAGAGUUAAAUGCAACCAGCCUUUUUAUUAUACUCUAUGUCAUAGUGUAUGUAAUUUGAUUUAUGAGAUUGAUAUCCCCAAAUUUUGGUCGGUCCAUGAACUGUUAUUCCAUGUGCACAUGCUGUUUUAACGCUAUUGACCUUGACAGUCCAUAUCUUAGGCUAGAUAAUCUAAUGACCACAAUGUAUGGCGUUAUUAUAGAUAACCGAUGAUUAUGGUCUAUUAAGGCAUUUUCAUCCCUAUUCCAUUUUUUCUUUUAAAAUAGAAUAAAAGUGAAUAUAGACUAAGGAAUGCUCCAACCCAACUCUAUAUCUCACUCCAUAAUGAAAUUUACUCUAUAAAUGAAGUAAUCUAUUUUUUGUCUGUUCAUCACUCCAUUAUGGAGUAGGAAAUGAAGUAGGGUUAGGGUAAUUUUACUCAAUUUUUAUUUUUACUCUAUUUUGGAGAAAAAAAUGGAGUUUUACAUUCGAGAUACUCUUAAUUACAUUGCAACUAUAAUUGUGUCAGUUAAAAUAACUGACUUUGAAUAUAUUUCCUUUUAGCAAUCACCUUGUUUAAUAUCAGUAUUUUUUUAUGGAUUGCCAUCUCAAGUGUUACUCCGAUCAGACUUCUUAUGUCAAUAAAUGGAUCAAAUAAUAAAUAUUCUUUUACUAUAGAUGACUGAACUCAGUGAACUCGGGCGCGAAUAUGAUGAAGGGUUUUGUGAAAGAACUCUCCGUACAAAAAACAAGAAGACAAUUUUCAAGAACACACAAAUGGUUUGUAAGAACAAUUCAGUUUCUUAGUUUACACGUUAGAGGAUUCAGAAACACCUUCAUACUUAUUUUUGUAGUUUAAACACGUUCAAAAAGAGAAGUUUUCACUUUUGUAGGAUAUAUAAAUUUUGGUGGGAUCAUCAAAUAGGAUCAUCAAACAGGAUCGAACAAAAACUUAUCAACGUUCUUGUUUUGCUUGAGAAACAAAACUGUGACCACAGCUUAUAUUUUCAUAUCGGUUUCAAUCACAAUAGUAGUUCUUAAAUCUUAACUACAUUACAUCAAUUUUAAAUGGACUCUGCCUAUACAAACAAAAAACAUGCUAUUAUGAUUAAUAUCAUGCCACUUUAGCAACUAUUCUUUUUUUCUAUCAAACCUUAAUCUAAAUAAAGCUUAGCAGUUAGCCCCUAACCUUAAAAAAAAGUUGUUCACCAAAGUAGCCGCACUGGCUAAAGCACCCACACCAUCAAAAGCAAAAUGGGAAAAAUGGAAAAUAAACACAACCGAUAUAAACAUACAUAACACCAAAGCGACUUAAGAUAGAAACACAACAAGUGUAGAACAAUUCAGAUGAACUGAUGAAGCCAUAGAAAUCAGAGGACACAUUCGCUGAACUACUGCCAAACAUGUGCCGCAUCAACAAAUACAUUAAAAUCAAGAAAUUUAGCUACAGAGGUGGUCACGUACUAUUAGAUCGGUACGUAUGGCUAAAAAGUAAUGGUAUUUUUUCUACUUAUUUUGCAACCGAUAUUUUGUUAUUAUUAAUGAUCUGAUGCUACUAUUUUUCACUAAUCCAUAGUUACUACAUGACAACGUAAAACUCGGUUGCUAUUACACAACGUUAUCUAUAAUUUAUUUUUUAUAUGAAAAAUUUCCUAUGAUAGCAUUUUAAAAUUUUUAUCACAAAAAUUGAUUUCAAUGAAAAAUGAUUAAAAUAAGUUUUAUUAAAAAAUAAAAAAAUAUAUUUAUACCAUAGAGUUAACUAAUCUAGAUUUAUGGUUCAUAGUUAAGAAGUGAGGCUUUGAAGAUAGAGUUUCAAAUUUUAUAAAAUAAAAUUAAUAUUAAAAUUUUCAAAAUAAAAAAGCUAUUUUAAUCAUUUUCUUUAUUGAAAACUAUUUUUAUGACAAAAACUUAAAAAUAACUAUCUGAGAGAAUUGUUUUUUUUUUAUAUUCCUAAACAUUAAUUAAAAUUAGUUUUUUUCGCAUUUGUUUUUACAUUUGAGAGAUUUUUACUGAUAGAAAAAAAAAUCCAUAAUACUAUUUGUAUCGUUUAAAAUUAUAUUUGUUAAGUAUUAAAAACAUCUUUCCAUUUCAAAAAUAUUACUUUAACCUUUUGCCAUAGAUGAGGAAUAGUUAAACUUUAUUUAUUUUUAAUAACUACAUUUAUUUAACUAAUAAUCUUUAAAAUAAAUAAAUGAUUUAUAAAAUUAAAAUAUUUUCCAAUUAAUAAUAUUAAAAUAAAUAUAUCAUAGUUGUAUUGAAAAUUUUAAAAUGAUUUGUUUUAUAACAAAAAAAAUAUAUAUAUAAAACAAAAAAAAUAUAAAAAUUACAUUUUCUUUAAAAUAGCACUAUAUUUUUUUAAUAUAUAUAUAAAUUGCCUUAAGACGUUUGUUAACUUAAACAUGAUGCAGAUGGAGAUCAAGUUGGAGAAAUCCUAUAUUUUUUGCGGCGGAAAAACGCGAGGGAGACACAAGAACCAUCUUCACCAGAAGUGACUUGCAUCAUGGGUCAAGCGAGGAUAAACCGGUCAAAUAAACCCAAACCGGAAGCUAAUCGGUCGGCCAAAGAUGUAACGGAAAGCCACGAACGUCCGAGACGGUUUGCGUGGAACACCCCUUCUCCGGGAAACUCAAACCGAGUUGGUUCAGCCCCGUUUGGCGCAAAUGGAGAAAAUCAGAGAAGCGAUCAUCAAGCUGGCCGGAACUUCCUCCAGAGAUCAUGAGGGAAAUUCUGAUCAGGCUGCCGAUCAAAUCGAUCGGGAGAUCCAGGUGCGUCUCAAAGCUGUUCCGCUCCCUCUCAUCAGAUCCAGGCUUCGCAAAAAGCCAGCUCGAUCUGAUGACCGCUCACCGGAAACUCAUCGUGUCUUCACACAACGGUAACAUGUAUGCAUUAGACUUGAACGAAGUAACUCGAGAUUCGAUACCUGUGGACCUCAGUUAUCCGCUUAAAGACGAACUACCAUUUCGAAGAGACUGUGUUGAAAUCUACGGAUCAUCCAACGGUUUAGUGUGUGUAUGAAGACGUUGUUCUCUUGUAUAACCCAACCACCAGAGAAUCAAAGCUGUUACCUGCUGAGAGCACUGAGACUGUCAAAAGAUACAGAGAAAAGUUCAUAUCCUAUGGAUUUGGCUUCGAUCAUCUCACCAAUGAUUACAAAGUAGUGAAGCUUGUCGCUGAUUCUAACAAUCUUCUCUACGCUUGCGUCUACUCUUUGAAGUCAAGACUCGUGGAGAUGGAUCCGCGAUUUGAGCUACCAACACAUCGACCGCUUCUGUUUCAACUGCUUCCCUCCCGGUCUGAAUCUCAACGGUGUGAUCCACUGGGUGUUCACUCUUCAACAAGGCAGUCGCAAGCGGAAAGUGAUAUUAGCAUUUGAUAUUAUAACGGAAGAGUUUGGAGAGAUGCCAUAUCCUACCGAAGCUAGGAGUUGUCCAUAUCGUUUCAUGGUAGGGAAUCUCAACGAGCGUCUUUGUUUGUUCACUAGUUGCUACGAGUUACAUGAUGAUAUUUGGGUGAUGAAUGAGUUGGGUGUAUGGCGCAGAAUCCGGAUCAGCGUGUUCUACAGGUUUAUGAAACCGGUGUGUUCGACCAAGAACAGCGAGGAGGAGGUUCUGAUGGUGUUUGAUGGAGUCAUGGUGUUGUACAAUUUUGAGACCCAUGCAAGGAGGAGACUGGAAAUUCAAGGGGAAAACCUCUGUGAGGGGUUCGAUGUCAAUUCGUACGUAGAGAGCCUCAUAUCACCAAACUCGCAUGGUCUUGACAACUGAAGAAAGCACUUUGAUUUUAAGUUAUAGAUUAAUAAGACUGGGCACAGACAGUCUACUCGUCUCGUUAGUUUGUUUUAUAUUUGGAUCGACUGUAGGUCUGUAGCCCUUUUUCUCACACAUAUAUAUUGAUAUUAGUUUGACAAUUUUAGAUCUGGUCAAAAUAAAUAGGUAUAGAGACCUUGAUGCGCUGACGCAGAAUGCAGAAUUUUGUUCAGCAAAGUAUUUUAUCUCAUACAAACCUUGCAAAAAAAUAUUAUUAUUAUAUAUAUACGCAAUUUUUUAUAGAUAUCUAGAACCUCAUUGAUCAUAUGAAUCUAUGCCAACACCUUGCUCUAAUGUGAGAAAUACUCUCAAGGCAUUCACCAAUUCUAAGUGACCUUCUUUAUUGAGUACUGACAGAUUCAAGUUCGUGAAACAGUCAGUGGAGACUGUUUUUGACGACUCGCCCAAGAUAUUCGGAGUUUGUUCUAAUGAAAACAUGUUUAUCUUUGUUUUUGUCUCUUUUUCCAUAAAAUUCUGUUGUUGUCUUGAUUAGGCUCACGUUAGUCUCUUCUAGUGUUGUCAAAGAGAUGACAUAUACUCGUAGACAGUAUGUCAAUCCAUACUAACGUAUCUUCACACAAAAAUCCAGCAUCCCUUUGUAAAGAGAAAGUGAGAAACAAUUGUAAAUUCUUUUUUAUUUUUCCCACCAAAUUAGUAAGUUCCUCGCGGACCUUAGAUAGGCCGAGAUCUUAAUGGGCUUAAAAAUAUUUCUUAAAUCAUAAAAGAUAAUAAUACUCACGAAGGUGUGUCUUUUGACCAUUUCUAAUUCAAAUUACUUAACGCGUAGAACGGGACGCGUAAUAAGAGUCUAUUUUCUCUUCUUCUCUUUCAGAUCUUAAAGGUUUCUUGCUAAAUAUGGCGGGAGAAGACAACAACCGCGAAGCUCAACGAGGCGACGACCAUGAGGAAUCGAGUCCUCUCUUGCAAGUGAACGACACCAAGAUCAACUCGAAAGGGGACAAAAAGACGGCGCCGAUUGUGCAUCCUCCCGCGGUGGAGGAAUACGGCUGGACGGCGGAUGGAUUGCCGGUGACCGACGGCAGCGUGAUCGGCGAGCCGAUCGGGAGAAACCAGUGGAACUCCGGUCUGUUCUCCUGUUUCGGACGGAACGAUGAAUUCUGCAGCAGCGAUCUCGAAGUUUGUGAGUGUUUUCUUGUCUGCUUUCUAAAAUUAGGGUUUUUGAAAUUGGGGGAAUUUUGAAAUUGAUUGAAAUUGGAAGUGAUCUGAUUGUAAUUUGUUGAAAGAGUCCAUCUUUUGAAAUGGGUCGAUCGAAAUUGAUUGAAAUUGGAAAUGAUCUGAUUGUGAUUUGUUGAAAGAGUCAAUCUUUAGAUCGUUCAGCUUAAAUAUGGGUCUUGAAGGUUAAGCUUAAUAGGCAAUCGAGAGAAGAAACCUCAAGAUGCGAUGUUAUGUGGCUUUGAUGAAACUUUUAGUGAUGAUGAUGGUAAUGGCUUUCUUUUGUUAGGUCUUCUUGGAAGUGUGGCUCCAUGUGUGCUUUAUGGAACUAAUGCAGAGAGGCUUGGGUCUGCCCCAGGAACCUUUUCGAACCACUGCUUGACGUAUUCAGGGUUGUACUUUAUUGGGAACUCUUUGUUUGGGUGGAACUGCCUUGCUCCAUGGUUCUCUUAUUCCAGCCGUUCUGCCAUUCGCCGCAAGUUUAACCUUGAGGUAUUUUUUUCUCUGUUUUCUUUCAUUUGGAAACAGACAAGUGAAUUUGAGAGAAAAAAAAAGGUUGUCCUUUGAGAAGAGAUUGAUCAACUCACGUCUUUGUAUAUGUUCUUGAUUGCUUGGAUGAUGACGAGUAGGGACCUAGCCCCAAGAGAUUCUAGUUUGUGUACCAUCGUCGCCUGGUUUCGUCAGAGUCCCUCUAGUGGCUCUAGUUACAAAGGGCUGUCUAUUAGCCUUCUAGUGGCUCUAGUUACAAAGGGCUGUCUAUUAGCCUUUAGGAUAGUCUCAUUUUGCACCUUUUUUGUUUUGUCUUCCCAUUAUCGUUUCUUCUAAUGAGAAAUUGCAUCUCCUGAACCUAUCUUUUGUUUUCUUUUUUUGGGUAAAAAACAGGGAAGCUUUGAGGCAAUGAACAGGUCGUGUGGCUGCUGCGGAAGCUGCAUAGAGGACGAGAUGCAAAGGGAGCAUAUGGAGACGACUUGUGACUUUGUGACACACGUCCUUUGCCAUACAUGUGCCCUUUGCCAAGAAGGCCGUGAGCUCCGCAGGAAGGUUCUUCACCCUGGUUUCAACGCUCAGUCUACCGUGGUGGUGCUCCCACCAAGUGAACAAACCAUGGGCCGUAAGUGAGUCCAGUGGUCUGAAUAGCACUUGUUACAUAUAUAAACAAGUGUCUUUGUGUGGAACACGAACUAUCAUGUUGUCUCUUGCUUACUUUUUUGAAUAAACUCCUUCUACGUCUGUAAUUUGUCGCGUGUAAAGAUCUUUUCUUCUACGCACUCAAACAUAUGUAUACCUUUAUUGUUAAUGGUAUGUAAUAUUCAUUUGUUUCACAACUCGUAAGGUGUUAACAUAGGGGUAACCGGAUUGGUUUAACGUAACCGAGUUUCGAGCAAAGCUUUUCAAUCGAGGAAACACAUUUUACUCUAUUAAUAAAGUUGGGAUUAUAAAAGGAAACACAUUUUACUCUAUUAAUAAAGUUGGGAUUAUAAAAUUUUAAAAUUUAGAGUUAUUAAUUUGCAAAAAAGUCAUUUUUUACAUUUCUCUACUUUUAGAGUAUAUUUUUUUUAUAAAAUAAGAAAAUAGUUAACUUUGUCUUAGAUAUAUUAAUUUAUAUUUAAAAAUUCGGUGUUUAUAUUUCGGUUUUUGGUUCUACUAUAUGGUGUAUACGAUAUAUGUUUCAUAGAAUUUAAAUGUAAUUUUAGAUAUAAUUUUACUAAAUAUUAUUAAAAAUAUAUUGAAGUGUAGAAAUAUAUAUGGUUUCAUUGUGAAUUUAAAACAAAUCUAUAUUGUUAUUUGUAAAAUAACUUUUCGCAACUCGAAUUCUCACGUUAAAAAUUAGAGCAAUUAAUAUCAUUUAUACUCUUAAUGAAUAAAAUAUAUAUUAGCUUAAAAAAUAAAAUGAAUUUAAAAUUUAUUUGAUUAGAUAAGUGGUUUAAAUUAUUAAUAAUAAAAAAUUAUCCAAAAUAUAAUAUAUUUUAAAAUAAAAAGAUAAUUCAUAUAUAUAUAUAUAUAUUGUGUAGUUAUCCGCAAAAUAUUUUUGAUAAAAAAAAUUCUUAAAAAAACUAAAAAACCGGAAACAGAUAACUAAAUAUUAAUCAAGCACAAAUUUUAUUUUUAUAUAAUUGAAAAUAGAAUAUUGAGUGAUUUCUAAUAUUUAUUAAUAAUAAAUAAAUGCAUAACGAAAUUUUCAAAAAAAUUAUAGUAUGUAAGAAUUUUCAAAUGAAAAUAUAAAUAAUAAUUUAUCCUUGUAAUCUUUUAAUUAGUAAUGUAUGUAUUAAUAAGUAAUUAUUACAUGCUCAUGUUUGCAUGCAAAGGGGAAACAUCUAGUGAUACAACGCUUUGUUUGUACUUAUAUAAACCUCAUAUACAUAUUAUUAAUUUAUGAUUUUAGCUAGACUAUAUAUAAAUAUGAUUUUCUAAAAAAUGAUUAUCUUAUUAUUUUAUUGAUUUGUAUCAUACUUUUAACUAGCACAACUCAAAACUGAAGAAAUUUAUUAAUUUAUUGUGUUUAUUAAUUAAUUUAGUAUUAAUUUUUAGAGCUUCUAUUGAAUGGACAAACAAAAUGUAGAGUAUCUCCUGGGGAUUUUAACCCGUUUAUACAAAUGUUUUGAAAACCAUACCAGACAUUGACUUGGUAUGGUGACUGAGUCAAUGGUUGGACCGGUCUAACCGGUUCAAUCGGGUUUUAUUUUAUUUAAUUUAAAAUAUAAAUUUAAAGUUAUAUAAUUAAUUUAUAUACUUUUAACUUGUACUAUAAUUGUGAAAAUAAUAUAAAAUAUUGUAAACUAAUAUAAUUAGAUAAUAUAAUAAGUUAAUUGUAUACCGGUUUAUUGUAAAUUGUAUAAUUGUUUUUUAUUUUUACUUCAGUUUUUUUAAACCGGAUUUUGAUAUUGAACUGGUUUACCGGUUUUAUCGAUUUUUGCCGGUUUUAACUGGUUUUAGAGGUUUAAUUCAAAUCCGGUUUUUAUAGUAACCCGUAACUGGCAAUAUAAAUGAGUCACAGUUCAACCAAUUUGACCAGCUGGUCUGAUCCGGUUUUCAAAACACUAAUUUAUACCCAUUGCAAUUAACUCUACUGAGCCUACCCAAACCCUUAGGGGUCAUUUUAAAAAAUAUAGUGUGAUAUUACAUUGAGGAGAGGACAUUUUAAUAUAGGCCAAUUAGCGUGUUUAGUAGCAGGUUGAUCUAAUUGCAGAGAUUAUAGAUGUGACUUAGAUUUUAGAGUUGCUGAUUUUAUAAAUGAAAAUAUUUGUUAACUUUGCAUAGAAUUAUAUUAUAUUAAUAUAGAACUAGAUUCUAACCCGCCCUUGAAAGGGCGGGUAAAUUUCUGUUUUAUAUAUUUUUUAGAAAUUUAAUUUUCAUAUAUGUGUUUUUCUUUUGUAAUCAUAUUUGUGUAAAAUAUUUUUUAAAAAUUAUUAGUAAGAAAUUUUAAUAAUUGUAUUGAAUUGUGAUGUUGCGUAUCUAUACACUUAUGCCAUAGACGAUUUAGAUACAAGUAAUAUUUUCAUACCCGAUCUAGAUCCACAGUUGAACCGAUAAACCUUGUUGUAAAAUCCAAAGCGUUUUUGUUGAUUUUUAUGCUUAAAUCUUUCUGUUUUCAUUUUCUACAUGUUUAUUUAUUCAUAUUGAUUAACACAUAAAUUUGAAGGAAGAUUUCUUACUCCUUAGUGAUGAACAUAAAGUCUAAGUCACACUCUUCUUAAUUCGUAUGGAGUCAUUCGGAUUUUCAGAGUAAGCUAUAUUCGUGAAUCUGUUUUGAUAUAGAUUGAUGUGGUUGAUUAUUUUGACUCAUCAACCAAGUUGUGGGUUUAUGUUUUUAGGUUUCAUUAGAAACUCUAAUUCUUCACAAACAUGUACUUGAAAAUUACGGUGGGCCUCUUUUCUCCUUUUUUGUUCAUUCGCUGAGUAACUUUUUACAGUGUUACGAUGAUAAUUUAUUAACCAGUAGAUGAAGCUUAACUGGGUUUUCAUUAGAAACCCUGAUUCUUGAUAAACAUGUGAUGGAAUUUAUAUUUGUGUAAAAAUUUUGUCAAAAAAUCGAAUUGGUUAUGGCAGAAAAGGUGAAAUGGUUUGUAUCGUAACCGUUUUCUUUAAAGAGAAAUAUAAUGUGGUUAAUGUUUAAAUAUAAUUAGACAUAGUUAUAUAAAAUCAGUUUUAAAAAAAAAAUUGGACCAAACAUUUAUCAAUUGGGCAUGUUGCUAAUUUAAUAGUAUUGAUUUCGUUAGUAUUGAUUUCGUUAAGUUUGUAGAGAAUUUGUAUAUUUAGAAACUCCAUCAAAUUUAUAUUAUAAUAUCACUACCGUUUGGUUCUCACGUCACGUAGCAAGGUACUUCAUAGCAAAAGUUUCCACUAGAGGUUCAUCAUAGCAAUUAUCCUACAAUUUUAUUCUUCGAGAUUCAGUCAUAUUCUUUAAUCAUAUAUGCAUUAUCUCGUAUUAAUUGCAUUAGAUCCCUUGUAAUAAUAGUUGGAUUAAGUAGUGAUUAAUUUGACCCUGUGAGUUUACUUUACAAGUGAUAUGACUUCUUUAACUUGGUUUUUAUACAUGAGUUCACGAUAAGAGGUCAAGAUCUAUACCUUUCUACUACCAUUAAUGAUAUUUGGCAUUUCUUAUACAAAUAAUUAAACAAGUCUACAGUUUAUCCUUGCUCUAGUUUGUCCUUGCUCGCUUCGGUCUUUAGUCUGGACCGUUUCGGUGGGACCAGGAUACUCGGUUAUAAAAAAAAAAUCUAUAGUUUGACCCCAAAAAAAACUAAACAAGUCUAUUAAUUAGACAGCAAAUGAGACUACCCAAAUUAUUUGCCGAUAAUUUAAUAGAAACUAAGAAUACAAAUUCUUAUAAUAAUGUAAAUGAUUGUAAAGAGAGAUGUGACACAUGGAGAAAUACCCAACUGGUUUGGCUUCUCACAACUAAACAAACACGAUGAUGAUGAUUUGGCUUGUGGCGUCAACAAGUUGAUAAAUAAUAGUUAACUAGGAUAAGACCUGCGUCUUGCGCAGGGUGAGUUUAUUUGUAUAUAUUAUCGAUAGUUUUUUUAUAGAUUUGAUCAUUUUAUUGGUAUAUAUAAAAUAUUUUUUGUUUUUUGUUGUUAUUAUAUAAUUUCUUUCCGAUAGAUCGGAUCAAUUUUUAUUAAAAAGAACGGAACAAAACUAUAAUUAAUACAUCAUGGGUUGAUCGGAUUAGACAUUAAACAAAUUAUGACAUAAAAACCUUAUUUUUUCCAUCGAACACAUUCUUGAAAAAAGUGAACAAUAUUGUUUUCACAGUUAAAUUAUUUUGACUUUUAUCUUCCAUAUGGUUUUGAAAGUUUUCAAAUCAACCAUCGAAUUAAUACAUGUCAUUUUAAUAUUUUUAGUCGUAUACUUAAGGAAAACUUACAUUUUUGUAAUUUAAAGUCGUUUUAAAAAAUUCAAAAUAUAACAUAUAAGAAAAAAUAUAACAUAUAAGGUGUCCUCAUUUUUGUAUUUUAAAGUCGUUUUAAGAAAAAAAUAUAACAUAUAAGGUUUCCUCAUUUUUGUAAUUUAAAGUCAUUUUAAAAAAUUCAAAAUAUAAAAUAUAAGAAAAAAUCUAUUUUUUUUAAUUAUAUGGUUAAUGUGAUUGUUUGUUUUUUUAAUAAUAUAAAAUUAAACAAAAUGAAGAAGGAUGCAAAAAUUGUUAUCAAAUCUUUAUUAUUCAUAAUCAUUAAUUGUCAUAUAUAUGUAAAUCAUAUUAGGUAAUUUCGUAGCUUUUAUUUAGAGAAAGAAUACACACUUUUUAUAUUUUAGGUUAAUAUAAUGUUCUAUAGUGGACAUUAAACAAAUUAUGACAUAAAAACCUUAUUUUUCUCUCGAACACAUUCUUGAAAAAGUGAACAUUAUUGUUUUCACAGUUGAAUUAUUUUGACUUUUAUCUUACAUAUGGUUUUGAAAGCUUUCAAAUCAACCAUCGAACUGAUACAUGUCAUUUUAAUGUUUUUAUUCAUAUACUUAAGGAAAACUUGCAUUUUUAUAAUUUAAAGUCGUUUUAAAAAAUUCAAAAUAUAACAUAUAAGAAAAAAUAUAACAUAUAAGAAAAAUAUAACAUAUAAUGUGUCCUCAUUUUUGUAUUUUAAAGUCGUUUAAAAAAUAUAUAUAACAUAUAAAGUUUCCUCAUUUUUGUAAUUUAAAAUUAUUUUAAAAAAUUCAAAAUAUAACAUAUAAGAAAACAUAUAUUUUUAUAUUAUAUGGUUAAUGUGAUUGUUUAUUUUUUUAAAAAAAAAUAUAAAAUUAAACAAAAAUGAAGAAGGAUGCAAAAAUUGUUAUCAAAUCUUUAUUAUUCAUAAUCAUUAAUUGUCAUAUAUAUGUAAAUCAUAUUAGGUAAUUCUGUAGCUUUUAUUUAAGGAAAGAAUACACACUUCUUAUAUUUUAGGUUAAUAUAAUGUUCUCUAGUGGACAUUAAACAAAUUAUGACAUAAAAACCUUAUUUUUUUCAUCGAACACAUUCUUGAAAAAAGUGAACAGUAUUGUUUUCACAGUUGAAUUAUUUUGACUUUUAUCUUCCAUAUGGUUUUGAAAGCUUUCAAAUCAACCAUCGAAUUGAUACAUGUCAUUUUAAUGUUUUUAGUCGUUUACUUAAGGAAAACUUACAUUUUUGUAAUUUAAAGUCGUUUUAAAAAAAUUCAAAAUAUAACAUAUAAGAAAAUUCUAACAUAUAAGAAAAAUAUAACAUAUAAGGUGUCCUCAUUUUUGUAUUUUAAAGUCGUUUAAAAAAAAAAUAUAACAUAUAAGGUUUCCUCAUUUUUGUAAUUUAAAGUCAUUUUAAAAAAUUCAAAAUAUAACAUAUAAGAAAAAAUCUAAUUUUUUUUUUAUAUGGUUAAUGUGAUUGUUUAAUUUUUUUAAUAAUAUAAAUUUAAACAAAAAUGAAGAAGGAUGCAAAAAUUGUUAUCAAAUCUUUAUUAUUCAUAAUCAUUAAUUGCCAUAUAUAUGUAAAUCAUAUUAGGUAAUUUCGUAGCUUUUAUUUAGGGAAAGAAUACACACUUCUUAUAUUUUAGGUUAAUAUAAUGUUCUCUAGUGGACAUUAAACAAAUUAUGACAUAAAAACCUUAUUUUUUCCCUCGAACACAUUCUUGAAAAAGUGAACAGUAUUGUUUUCACAGUUGAAUUAUUUUGAUUUUUAACUUACAUAUGGUUUUGAAAGCUUUCAAAUCAACCAUCGAACUGAUACAUGUCAUUUUAAUGUUUUUAGUCGUAUACUUAAGGAAAACUUACAUUUUUGUAAUUUAAAGUCGUUUUAAAAAAUUCAAAAUAUAACAUAUAAGAAAAAAUCUAAUUUUUUUAUUAUAUGGUUAAUGUGAUUGUUUAAGUUUUUUUAAUAAUAUUAAUUUAAACAAAAAUGAAGAAAGAUGCAAAAAUUGUUAUCAAAUCUUUAUUAUUCAUAAUCAUUAAUUGCCAUAUAUAUAUCAUAUUAGGUAAUUCCGUAGCUUUUAUUUAAGGAAAUAAUAUACACUUCCUAUAUUUUAGGUUAAUAUAAUGUUCUCUAGUGUUAUAUAAUUAUGGAAUAAUGUGACACCGUUAGAUUAAACUAUACUUUAUAUUAGAUGUUAUAGAAUUCUUUGAAAUAGAAUUUAGAAGGUUUAGAGUGCCACCUAGGAUUUGGGUUUUUUUUUAAUUAAUACAAAAUGAAGGUUCUAAUUUUUCAAAUGAUUCUCAAUUAAUAUAUAGGGGAUUAUUUUCCCCAAGUUGACCACUAUUUUUUUGUAAGAUACUUUGUUUAAAUGGUAGACAUUGUAGUUAGAAAAUCUCAAAAUUGUUAAAUUUCAAAAACUGGAAAUCAGAACCAAUUGAUAAAUUAGUAAUUAGAAAUUAAUAAAUUGAGCUAUGUUUUUAAUCUUUGAUAUAUUAUUCUAGAUCUCGUCGUAUGUUUGAUGUUAGACUUUUAACAUGUUUUGUAAAAAUGGUCAUUAGUUCUGUUUAGUCUCCAAUUUGAUAGCAUUGUAUGAUUUGAUAACAUAUCUUACUUAGAUGUCAAUUACUGGAAGAUGAUAUCAUGUUAAGUUCUAAGAACUUUACCAUAUAUAUCAAUAAAUCAUCAUACUUUCGACGUUGAGUUCUUAACAAAUUUUGUAUCUACGUACCUAUCAUAAUGAUGUAAAUUAAUGAUCUAGUUUUAGAUGAUUUUAAAUCACUCCCGAAUACAAACAAAUGAUUAAAAAUGAUUUUUAAAAACUCAUCUAACACACAAAUGAUUGGAAAAAAAAACUCAUCGGACCUUUAGACGACUUUAUUAUAUCUCAAUCCAUAACGAUUUGAUAUUUCUUCUUAUUGAUUUCAAACCAUUAACAUACAUAGUUACAUACAUACAUACAUUCAUACACACGCAUAUGAUUAUUAUUAUCUUUCACAACAUUAUAAUCAUUUAGAGUUCACAUAACGACAAUCCUUCCUUAUCUCCCCUUGGUCACCGGUGAGAGGGUUGGUCUCGGACAAGAGCCUGACACCGCGUGAGAAUUGUUCAUGGAAGUAACCAUUGUCCGCAGCCAUCUUGGCCACAAAAGGUGCCGUCCUCGGGUCGCUGGCUAGCUCAUCAUCGAUGACCAGGAGCCCUCUAUGAGCCAUGAUGUUCUUGUAAUACAUAUUGUCCACAACCAUGGGAGUCUCACGGUCAUUACGGGAAUAUAAGACUGCGUUCGGGUCCGGGUUUGGACUUGGGCAACGAUUUUUCAAGUAAAGGGCGUAAUCUGGGUCUAGAGUCGGGUCAAUCGUUGGGUAUAGCCGGUGCACUAGAUUAACGCAAUGGACCCUACCAACGGAGUGAGCACCUACGAUAAUAUAAGUUGACUGAUGAGUAAUAGUGACAGUCAUUUUUUGUAAAACUCAUUUCUUUUCUAAAAUCGUGAAAAAAACAAAAACCAAAAUAUUAAUCCUGGUAGUGUUAGUUACCAUGCCCUGAAAAGUUUGUGUUGUUUUAUUCACAUAGCAAUAGCUUGACAUUUUACAAAGAUUAUAUUCUAAUCAGAUAAUGACUUAAACUAAUUACAUCAUUAUCUCAUUCUAAAUAGUAGUUCUCCAAAUCUAUUGGUCUGUGCAGCUAAAAGAUGGUUACUACUCAGAUUUGCUAUAAGGAAUUAAAAGUUGUUACCUAAUAGAGCAACGGUGGCUUCAACAUCGAUGCCCAUGGAGUUAAAGUUUGAGAGAACGGAGGAGAGGGAGUCAUUGUGGUUAGGAACUAGAGUCUCAACAUCACUCAAGUAGCUUCCUCUACUGUCUCUCCUUCCUGUCUUGAUCAUAUCUAUCUUUGGCCCUUUCAACUAUUCAUUUCAACAAAAAAAAAACAGCACCACAAUUAUAAAAACAAUUCCAAACUAAUUUAACCUUAAAAUGCAUAUAGGUAAUAUAUCUAUAAUUACCAUGACAAUACCAUCUCUAGCAGAGAGAGCAACAAUAUCAGCGCAAGAGACUGUGGAAGGACAUUCUUUCUCAAGUGCGUCUUUGAUAACCUUAACGUACUUAAAGUUUCUCAUACCAAAACUCCUCGUUGACUUUUGCUCAGACUCCACACCUCUCGCUGUCUCUAGUAGCAGUGACGCAUCACACGACUACAAAGAGAAGACAUGAACAUAAAUAAAUCGUGUUUUGAUAUUAUAUUAUGAGUAGAUAAAACAGUUAACUACCUUGACGACGCAGUCAUGGAAGAGAUUACGGAGCCAAGAUACGGCUGUGUUACCGUGUUUGUAGUAAAGCGUCUCCACUUGUUGUCUGAUUAUCUCUUCCGCUCUAGGACAACUCUCUCUGUAAUAAUUCAUCUCCAGUUCCGCAUUCCCUACAAUUUUAUCAAAAAUCUAUAAAUGAUUCGUUUUCUCUACAUGCGUGUUAGCGAUUCUAUCAUUAUAAAAAGAAAAUAUUUGUUGAGUUUUUACGGUGGAAAUUAAAUGACUAAAAAAAUGUGAUAUUUGAGAGGCUUUUUUUUGAACCACAGAGAGGCAUAAUGUAAUUAGAGCAAUGAGGAAUAUUAUUACCGAUAUGGAAGAUGGAAAAUAACUGUAAUAACAGACAAAAGAAGGCCAAAAGACAGAAGGGCAUCUUCGCAUUCGCCAUCUCUCUCUCUCUCUUUUCUUUUUCUACUUUGUUGAUUGGUGUGUCUCUUUAUGUGUACCAAAGUAGGGUUAUAUAGAGAGAGUUCAAGGGACUUGAGUGUAUCUGUGACAAAAAAAAGGGACUUGAGUGUAUUAUAUAAUUAUCUUUAUUUAUUAGCCAUAGUGGUUGCCCAUAUUAAUUAUUCACUUUUUGUAAUCAUCGGUUGUUUCUUAAUUAUAAAUUAUAAACACAUAUUAAUACUGAAAUUUAUAACCACUAGCUACGUGAACUCAAUAGUUGUUGAACAUGUGAAUUCAGUGAGACUUGAUUUCCUUUUUCUUUUCUUUUUUUGUCACAAUGAGACUUGAUUUCCUAUUUUAUCCUAUAAUCAUACAAAACUAAUUAGUUUGGCUUUUCACUUUUGUUCUAUUAUAAUACAAAACUGUCCUUUUCCUCUACUUAAUUUUUUCAACCUUCAUUUAUUAAUUAGCCAUCCCCAUACAACUCCAUGCUCCACAAGCAAAGCAGAUAGAAAAGGAGGAGAUAUAAUAUGAAUUACGUACUAACUAAUUGAUUGAAUCGGAUUGAAAAAAAUAGAAUAUUUACAUUAUUUUUAAAUGCUUGCGAUGAAUAUGAAUAUUGCACAUCAACGUCUAGAAUAUGACCAACUCUAUUAACUUACAACCCAGGCUUACAACCAUGCUAAUCCCUAGGUAUAUACUAUAUGCUAUAUAUAGCCUAUUAUAUUAAAUUCGAAAGUUCAUUCACUAAUAAAAAGUUCUUGUUACCCUUCACUGCAUAAAGCUUGUACGACCAUUUUUUAUAGAUUCUCACAGCUUACUGACAUUUUACCUUCCAUGUGAAAUAUAUUACCUAGUUGGAUUCAUAGUUCUCUUUAGAAACUUAUUGCUUCGUUUCUGCAGUUGUAACAAAAGUAGAACGAGAGAAAUGGACUAGCUAGUCACAAGUAUGUAUAUGCAUGGCCCAUUAAUGUACUGCAUCAUGGCAAAAUUAUUGGAUACAUAUUAUAUAAAAAUCUCUAAAGAUAGCCACUCUCCAGUUCCGCAUUCCCUACAAUUUUAUCAAAAAUCUAUAAAUGAUUCGUUUUCUCUACAUGCGUGUUAGCGAUUCUAUCAUUAUAAAAAGAAAAUAUUUGUUGAGUUUUUACGGUGGAAAUUAAAUGACUAAAAAAAUGUGAUAUUUGAGAGGCUUUUUUUUGAACCACAGAGAGGCAUAAUGUAAUUAGAGCAAUGAGGAAUAUUAUUACCGAUAUGGAAGAUGGAAAAUAACUGUAAUAACAGACAAAAGAAGGCCAAAAGACAGAAGGGCAUCUUCGCAUUCGCCAUCUCUCUCUCUCUCUUUUCUUUUUCUACUUUGUUGAUUGGUGUGUCUCUUUAUGUGUACCAAAGUAGGGUUAUAUAGAGAGAGUUCAAGGGACUUGAGUGUAUCUGUGACAAAAAAAAGGGACUUGAGUGUAUUAUAUAAUUAUCUUUAUUUAUUAGCCAUAGUGGUUGCCCAUAUUAAUUAUUCACUUUUUGUAAUCAUCGGUUGUUUCUUAAUUAUAAAUUAUAAACACAUAUUAAUACUGAAAUUUAUAACCACUAGCUACGUGAACUCAAUAGUUGUUGAACAUGUGAAUUCAGUGAGACUUGAUUUCCUUUUUCUUUUCUUUUUUUGUCACAAUGAGACUUGAUUUCCUAUUUUAUCCUAUAAUCAUACAAAACUAAUUAGUUUGGCUUUUCACUUUUGUUCUAUUAUAAUACAAAACUGUCCUUUUCCUCUACUUAAUUUUUUCAACCUUCAUUUAUUAAUUAGCCAUCCCCAUACAACUCCAUGCUCCACAAGCAAAGCAGAUAGAAAAGGAGGAGAUAUAAUAUGAAUUACGUACUAACUAAUUGAUUGAAUCGGAUUGAAAAAAAAAAUAGAAUAUUUACAUUAUUUUUUAAUGCUUGCGAUGAAUAUGAAUAUUGCACAUCACCGUCUAGAAUAUGACCAACUCUAUUAACUUACAACCAUGCUAAUCCCUAGGUGUAUACUAUAUGCUAUAUAUAGCCUAUUAUGUUAAAUUCGAAAGUUCAUUCACUAAUAAAAAAUUCUUGUUACCCUUCACUGCAAAAGCUUGUACGACCAUUUUUAUAGAUCCUCACAGCUUACUGACAUUUUACCUUCCAUGCGAAAUGUCAUUACCUAGUUGGAUUCAUAGUUCUCUUUAGAAACUUAUUGCUUCGUUUCUGCAGUUGUAACAAAAGUAGAACGAGAGAAAUGGACUAGCUAGUCACAAGUAUGUAUAUGCAUGGCCCAUUAAUGUACUGCAUCAUGGCAAAAUUAUUGGAUACAUAUUAUAUAAAAAUCUCUAAAGAUAGCCACAAAUAUAAAAUUUUAAUUAUCUGUAACCAUUAAUUAACCAAAAUAUAAUUCAGAUAAAGUUAUAGACUCUACAGUAUAGUCUUAUAAUAUAUAUAUAGCAAUAAUUGAAUAUAUUGUUGGAAAAUGGGGUUGAGGAUUAGAUAUUCGAUAGAGACAUUUGUGUGAUGUUAGCAUUUUUUUUUCUCAAAUCGGUAAUGCAUGCAUACUUUUAAAAGAGUAGUUACUCUUCAAAUCUCGAGUUGGAUAUGGUCUCCAACUCGAUCGGUAAGCUUUUUAUGAGUCGGGCUGCAGCAUGAUUGUCAUUCCAUGGUCAAACUCGAACAUUAUGAGAAGUCUUCUCAAAUAUGAAAGAUGUUUUAGUAGAUGCUCAACGAUCACAUGAACAAGAACUUACUAAAUCACUUGGAACUUUGGAAGAGUUUGAUUAUGAUUGAUGUCAUGAUAUUUAAGUUAUCUUUUAUAGAGAUACAUACAUCAUACAUACAAUAUGAUUAGUAUUCAAAAAAAUAAUAAAUGAUUAGUAUUCCGGUCUUUGGUCCAAGUGAUCUAUCUAUACGAGUUUUGAGCAUGUGUAGCCGUAAGCCGUUUUACGUCAUUUCGGACCGGAGCCUUGUUAACGUUUAUAAUUGUUAGAAUCGAAUCAUAAAAAUCUAUACAGUAAUACUGUAGAAUAAAACAUAUAAAGAAUUAAAUUAACAAAGAAAAUAUUAAUUAUACAACAAUAUUUUCUUUAAAAAUCUAAUCAAGUUUUAUCAUUAAAAUUGAUAAAUAACUUUUAGAUAAAAUAUUUAAAUUAUUCAAUGUAUUUUAUGCCUAUAAUCAAGUAAGGUAAAAUUUAAUCAAAAUUUUAAAAAUAUAUUUUAAAAUUGCAUUCAACCUAUAAUCGCCAAUCAAUCUAAUUACUCUAUUUUCUUUAACAGUUAACGUUUGUCUACAUUUUUGUCACAUAGGCAAACUCAUGUUUUAUAGUUAUAUUAUGAUGUUAUAGUAAUAGAUGAUGCCUUUGAUUUUGAAUUUUUUUUUUGCUGCCAUAAGCGAAUGUUCUUUUUCUUUAAACUGAGGCUGCACUGUUUCGGACAUGUUCUUGAUGCAAAAUUAAUGCGUUUAUCGAUGUUAAAAUGGGAUAUUUUGACGUCACUGAAUGUUCUAUAUCAUCAUCAGCCGCUCAUCCGUCGACCACUUUAUCACUUAUGUAAUAACACACUCCACAAAACAUUUGGUGAAUUUGGUUUAUAUGCAUUUAUGGUGGCACUGAGAGUUGCUUUUUGCUGGACGUUUACGAGUCUAGACCUAUCUUAUUCAGCAACUUCAAAUCGGUUGCCACUAUUUCAACUUAGUAUUCAUAAGGAAAAAAAAAUUAUAAGGAAAGAUGUCUCAUUUUCUUAUUUUCUAGUUUGUCGUAUUAAGCUAAAAUUUUAAAUACAUUUCAUCACAAUAUGCAUGUAGUACGAAAUUUUUAUAAUGCAAUUUACUAAAACACUGCUUUUCCAGAGCAAUAUAAAAAAGCUCAUACGUAUUAUUUCAGAAAAUUUAUAAUUACAAGAAUUUUAGUUUUUUUGUUUGCUUAAAAAUCUUGCAUUAAUAAUACUUCUGUUUUAGAUUGGUAUUGUAAUUCGUUUUGCAAUGACAAACAAUUCAUUAGUUUUCUAAUGCAUUUUUAAAAGUAUACUCAUAGUUUACUUAACUUGAAAGCAUACAAUAUUUUUUUCGAAGAUUCCUUGGUGUAUUAUGAAUGAAUUAAUUGAGAGCCAUUAAGUUUGACAUUUUAGGCACUUGCGUAAUCGCAUGCGCAUUUGCAAACCACUAAUAAAAACCAAGGAUCCCACUUUCUUGACCGAUGGCGGCUGUUGUCCAAUCCAUUCACUUCCACGCAUAAUGCUUUGUUGCCGAUGCUUCACUUAUCUUCAACACUCAUUAUGUAUAUGAUCCCCCACCCCAGUUUUUCUCUACAUCUAAAAGUAUGUGUUUUUUUCUAGAUGCUUAUGAGAGUACUGAUCCUCUUUCACUAAUAACAAUGUAUUUACUUUCUAAGAUUCCGAGCGUUUUGUUUAGUUUAAUUUGUAAAUAUGUAAUAAAAUUAUAAAACUAAUGAUUUUUGUUUUUAAAUACGAAGUUUUGUUUAGAAAGAUUGAAAUGCGAUAUUCUUGCAAUGAAUCUUGAUCAUAUAUUUGGAAUAGUGAAAGCGGGCGUGGAAUAAAGGUUGAUGAAUGAAAAAAAAUAGAACACAAAUUGCUAACUGACAUGUUAAAUUCUACCUAAAAACAUUUCAAAAAAAAAAGAAAAUCUAUCUAAACAAGAAAGGUUAUAAUCAUUUCCCUAGGUUUCGACGUUAAGUCCAUUGUUGUUUCCGAUAUCAAAAUAUGGGAUCGGUCUUGAGACAUGAAAAAACUACGGUAUAAAAACUGAAUGAUCCAUACAUAUAUACUCCCUCUGUUCUCAAAUGUAAAAUGUUUUGGGUAGUACACACUUAUUAAAAAAAAUAUUUUUUAUUUAGAAAGUAUCAUUGAAAUUAUAAACUAAAAACUAAUCAACCAAAUACAAAAUAAAACUAUUAAAUUUGAUUGGCUACACAUAAAAAUUAUUCUAAACAUCUUACAUUUCAGAACAGAGGGAAUAUAUGUUUGGAUAAUUUGGAAAUUGAAUGAUCCGUGUAUAUAUAUAUAUAUUAUUAAUCUGGGUACUGUUUUGGACAUGAAAAAAGGGUCCAGACUAAUCUGUAAGAGCAUCUCCAAUGUACACCUCUAUAUUUUCUUCUAAAACAGAGAUCUCUAUUAUAGAUGUGAAAAUGCUCCAAUGUAUGUUCCUUAUCUCCCCUUGGUCACCGGUGAGAGGGUUGGUCUCGGACAAGAGCCUGACACCGCGUGAGAAUUGUUCAUGGAAGUAACCAUUGUCCGCAGCCAUCUUGGCCACAAAAGGUGCCGUCCUCGGGUCGCUGGCUAGCUCAUCAUCGAUGACAAGGAGCCCUUUAUGAGCCAUGAUGUUCUUGUAAUACAUAUUGUCCACAACCAUGGGAGUCUCACGGUCAUUACGGGAAUAUAAGACUGCGUUCGGAUCCGGGUUUGGACUUGGGCAACGAUUUUUCAAGUAAAGGGCGUAAUCUGGGUCUAGAGUCGGGUCAAUCGUUGGGUAUAGCCGGUGCACUAGAUUAACGCAAUGGACCCUACCAACGGAGUGAGCACCUACGAUAAUAUAAGUUGACUGAUGAGUAAUAGUGACAGUCAUUUUUUGUAAAACUCAUUUCUUUUCUAAAAUCGUGAAAAAAAACAAAAACCAAAAUAUUCAUCCUGGUAGUGUUAGUUACCAUGCCCUGAAAAGUUUGUGUUGUUUUAUUCACAUAGCAAUAGCUUAACAUUUU
rnacentral:lncRNA from 1 species